UGGGGAAUAUUGCACAAUGGGCGAAAGCCUGAUGCAGCAACGCCGCGUGAGCGAUGAAGGCCUUCGGGUCGUAAAGCUCUGUCCUCAAGGAAGAUAAUGACGGUACUUGAGGAGGAAGCCCCGGCUAACUACGUGCCAGCAGCCGCGGUAAUACGUAGGGGGCUAGCGUUAUCCGGAUUUACUGGGCGUAAAGGGUGCGUAGGCGGUCUUUCAAGUCAGGAGUGAAAGGCUACGGCUCAACCGUAGUAAGCUCUUGAAACUGUAAGACUUGAGUGCAGGAGAGGAGAGUGGAAUUCCUAGUGUAGCGGUGAAAUGCGUAGAUAUUAGGAGGAACACCAGUUGCGAAGGCGGCUCUCUGGACUGUAACUGACGCUGAGGCACGAAAGCGUGGGGAGCAAACAGG
rnacentral:rRNA from 1 species